rnacentral:tRNA from 1 species
GUAAAUAUAGUUUACAGAAAACAUUAGACUGUGAAUCUAAUAACAGGAAACCAACUUUCCUUAUUUACC